GACGAACGCUGGCGGCGUGCUUAACACAUGCAAGUCGAACGGAAAGGCGCUGCUUUUGCGGGGUGCUCGAGUGGCGAAGGGGUGAGUAACACGUGAGUAUCCUGUCCUUGAAUUUGGGAUAACAUCAGGAAACUGGGGCUAAUACCGGAUAGGAGAUCCUGCUGCAUGGGGGGGGUUGGAAAGUUUCGGCCGUGGUGGAUGGAAUCGCGGCUUACCAGCUGGUUGGGGGGGUAGUGGCUUACCAAGGGUUCGACGGGUAGCCGGCCUGAGAGCGUGGCCAGGCUCCUUAGUCCUACGGUACGCCCCAGUAGGCUACGUGCGGCAACAGGCGGGAGUCUUACGCAGUGGGCGCGAGCCUGUUACGGCAGUCUUCCGUGCGUAAUGCCCUCCUUCUAGUUGUAAACCGCUUUCGCCUGUACCGUAGCGUUAUUGACGGUAAUGGGUAAAAAAGCACCGGCUAACUACGUG
rnacentral:rRNA from 1 species